rnacentral:rRNA from 1 species
UGGGUAACCUGCCUUAUAGUGGGGGAGUAGCCUUUCGAAAGGAAGAUUAAUACCGCAUAAGAUUGUAGUAUCGCAUGAUAUAGCAAUUAAAGGAGCAAUUCGCUAUAAGAUGGACCCGCGUCGCAUUAGCUAGUUGGUGAGGUAAUGGCUCACCAAGGCGACGAUGCGUAGCCGACCUGAGAGGGUGAUCGGCCACAUUGGGACUGAGACACGGCCCAGACUCCUACGGGAGGCAGCAUG